rnacentral:snRNA from 1 species
AUACCUUUCUCGGCCUUUUGGCUAAGAUCAAGUGUAGUAUCUGUUCUUAUCAGUUUAAUAUCUGAUAUGUGGACCAAUGGUCCACACGAUAUUAAAUUUAUUUUUUGAGGGGGAGAGUCCACUACAGUAGCUUGCUAUUGGGCCUCUCAAGCGUCGCUUUUGUGUUGCACUAUUGCAAUUGCCUGGCGCACCCCAC